rnacentral:lncRNA from 1 species
CGCUCAGGACCGGGCCUCAAAAUGGCCACACGCGUACCCCCGUAGCGGAAAAAAUCGCCCAGGACCACACCGCAGCGUAACUGCAGGCCUCUCAGCGAAAAAGGGGGAAAGCAAAGACCCGGGUGUGCAUCCUCUUCCUCGGCUUCCGCCCCUUUCCGGCGGAGUGGAGAUCCUAUUCAGAGGGGCCGGUCUCUCUAAAUAUGCCCCACGGGUUCUUUGGGGAGCCGGAUGCCU